rnacentral:piRNA from 1 species
UGGCACAUAGUAUGUUCAUUUGGUCC